UACGUAGGUGGCAAGCGUUGUCCGGAAUUAUUGGGCGUAAAGCGCGCGCAGGCGGUUUCUUAAGUCUGAUGUGAAAGCCCACGGCUCAACCGUGGAGGGUCAUUGGAAACUGGGGAACUUGAGUGCAGAAGAGGAAAGUGGAAUUCCAAGUGUAGCGGUGAAAUGCGUAGAGAUCAUGAGGAAGACCAGUGGCGAAGGCGGGUCUCUGGACAGUUCCUGACACUGAGGCACGAAGGCCAGGGGAGCAAACGGG
rnacentral:rRNA from 1 species